rnacentral:lncRNA from 1 species
CCUUUUGUGGAAAUCCAUGGCCUUACGAUUAAAUUUCAAUGAUUUGUCUGGAGGUUUCAAGUUCUGUUCCACAAUUUUCCAGUGACUCUACAAGCAGCAAAAUCCAUAAGCAAAAGGUCUAUGUGUGUGUGUGUAUGCAUGCACACACGUGUGCAGAGUUUAAAUUUAUAUUACAGCAAAUACUGAGGCCUUGCUUUUAUGACCUGACUGAUGUUCCAGACUUUACAAUUUGCAUCUUUAAAUUAUCACUGUAUAUCUCCACAUAAGAAUGUACCAUUUCACAUAUAUGGUCACACUUUUAUGGAAAAGGAUGAAUGAGUGGUGGAGAUGGAAUAAAAGCUUCUUCCCAAGGAUUUUAUCAAGACAGUGGAAGACUGAGGAGAGACUGAAGGGAGUGGAAGGAAAUAUUGUGUCUUCUAAUAUCCAUCUUGCUCAAACAAAGUUGGCUGAAUUAAGGCUCUGCUUGUUAACUGUCAAUCACAAUCUAUUAUGAAAUAUAAGAAAAAUGACUAGCAAUAAAAAGUGUAGUUAAAUUGUGUUAAAAUUCAAGUUAGUAACUUCUGUUUUAAUAUUUACAUGUUUGAAUUUUUCAAGUAUCUUGGAAUUUUUAAGAAGUUAAAUCAUCAGAAUAAUUAGUUGCUAUAUUUAUACUGUAAAAGUAAAUAAAUGGAAUUUUUAAAAAUUGCUUGUAAUUUAAAAUUAUGGAUUCUUAUAGUAAGUUUUAUUAUAUUUUAUUUUAUUAACUUUGUGUUUUAUUAUAUAUUUAUAUUUAGUUAUAUAUUUAAUUAUGUUAAAUUAUGCAUUUAUUUUUUAUUAGUAUUAUUUUUUAUUGGCUGAAGGGAGAAGAAAUAAAUAUUACACCCCCCGAAACCUAACAAUAAAAUUCAGAUAUUAACAUGCAUACAUUUAUAUGAGGUUACAGUUCAAUAUUGGGCUCAUUUAAAAAACAAUUAAUAGACAUGGCUAAAAGAGUGAUGAUCAACUCCCACAAAAGACAGCACAAACUAUCUAGUGUUAAGAAGAGUAUACACCAAAAUCUUGAAACAUAAUAUUGAAAUCCAUUUUUAAAUUAUAGAAAAAGAAGAGUGGAGUCAUAAUUAUAGCAAAGAUGUAAAUCUGCAACUCCAUGUUUUUUCUUUAAUGUGGGUCUGGAAAUAUAUAAGAAGUGUAUAUACUUCAAUUUCCUAUGCUUCAGUUUAAAUGAUUCUAAAUUGAAAUUCAAAUAUCAUGUUUACUGUCAUGAAAAGUUUUACAGUCUACAAGAACUUACUUUAAAUAGGAACAAGGCCAGUCCUUGCAUUAGGGAAGUACUAAUGGUCUAGACCAAUUCCACUGCCCUGAGAUAUCCACAGCAGCAUCUAUUUUUUCAUGAUUAUUGUUCCAUUCUUUCAGGACCUCAAUGUCUUCUCUUUCUAUAAAAUCUCUUUUAAAACAGAAAUAAUCCAUGGAGGAGUCCUACAUUCAGAUAUUGCUAGGUAACUUAAAUGAUGAAGCAAGAUUUUAGAAAGAACUGAUUAGAUGCUUUGGAGUAAGAAGGGCCAAAAUAGCCUUCCAGAGAAGGGCACAAGGGCACUAACAGAACAGGAAAAAGUGCCAAUUCAUUUUGAUAUAUUUCAGUGUUCUAUGAAGAAGAAAAUGGCAACCUAAAAUAAACGAUAAUACGACUAUAUACAGAAAAUCAAUAAAAUGCCAUUUUAGAAGUAUUAUCAGUGAAAAAAUGUUUGUUUACAAUAUGUCAUAAAGUGAAAAAGGAAUUAUUAAAAAGUGCCACAUUGUGAUUGCAUAUUUUGUUGAAAUAUGUGCAUACACAUAUGAAUAGAAAAAAAUGGAAAAUAUAUACACUAAAAAAUGUGUGUUAGCACUGAAGAGUUCAAUACAUUUGUGCUUGAUAUUUUAAAAUUUUUGAAGCCUGUAUUACUUUUGUAAUCUUUUAUCAUGUAAAUGUUUUAAUUGAACUAUAAUAAAAAUUUACAAAAGUGCAUAAAUCAUAAAUGUAUAGAUCAGUGGC